UCGUGCUAGGUGGAGGGCUCGGGGUCCUCUAACAACCGCAAAUCCCCGUCGGCGGAUUGAAUCCCUGCCAGAGGGCAUGGUUGGUGGUAACGGCCAGUUCUAGAAGCAUUGAAGGAUGGGUUCCACACGGCGAAAGUCCGUGAACUCCGCCAGGACCGGAAGGUAGCAACGGUAAACGAUCGCUUUCGGGUGAUGUGGCAGCGCCUGUCCGGAGCCUAUAGUUCAGGAUGCGUGCCAUUGAUUUUUGUUCGAGGGCAGGUGCACGA
rnacentral:SRP_RNA from 1 species